rnacentral:rRNA from 1 species
UGGGGAAUAUUGGACAAUGGGCGCAAGCCUGAUCCAGCAAUGCCGCGUGUGUGAAGAAGGCCUUCGGGUUGUAAAGCACUUUUAUCUGGAGCGAAAUCUGCAGGGCUAAUACCCAUGCAGUCUGACGGUACCAGAGGAAUAAGCACCGGCUAACUUCGUGCCAGCAGCCGCGGUAAUACGAAGGGUGCAAGCGUUACUCGGAAUUACUGGGCGUAAAGCGUGAGUAGGUGGUUUCUUAAGUCUGCUGUGAAAGCCCCGGGCUCAACCUGGGAAUGGCAAUGGAUACUGGCGAGCUAGAGUGUGUCAGAGGAUGGUGGAAUUCCCGGUGUAGCGGUGAAAUGCGUAGAGAUCGGGAGGAAAACCAGUGGCGAAGGCGACUAUCUGGACCAGAACUGACACUGAGGCACGAAAGCGUGGGGAGCAAACA